UUCUUAGAUAUUUUUUUAUUUUCUUCUUGGUGGUUUGUACUACUUCUUUUGGAUCAAAAAAAAAAAAAAACCUUCCUAAUUACUUCCCUUAUUCUCCACAAGAAAAACAAAAGAUACAUAAACAAGAAAAGAAUACUAGUAGUGGCUUUGCUAGCUAAAAAAUAAGCCCAUCUAAAGUCCUCUUAGUUGAAGACAUUACAUUGAACUCUAACAUGAGUCAAGAUACAAAAAAUGACCGUUGUAGAGUAGACGCUCUUAAUAACCGCGUUACACAGACUGUCACAAACUCACAACUCACAACUUAAACCACCGCCUCAUAACUCUCAUAACUCAUAACUCUCAUAACUCAUAAAUCUAAAUCACCCUUCAUCAAGAAUUUGCUCUCUGCGAUUUUGCAAAACCCUAAUGAAAAAUCCCCCAUUCAUUUUCUCCUUAAAUUCAUGCUUUAGAAUAUAUUCGGCGACAAAUCAAAAUUUCGCUCCUUUUCCAACCAUUCUGAAUUUAGGAUGGAAUGUGAAGUUCUAGAAUUCGAUUUCUAGGGUUCCACAUUCCGUAAUUGAAUUGUAUAAUUCAAAUGAGUGGUAAUCGAUUUCGGAAUUUUGAGUUAUCACCUUUUCAAGAUAGAAUAUUGUGGAUUUUUAUGAAUUUCAUUGAAGGUUGUUCAAAGCCAAGGACGCUGAGGGUUGCUAAAAGUAUCUAGCAACAUUUGUACUGUGUUCGUAGUCUGCUAGCAGAGGAAGCUAGAAGGGUGGAGUUGACACUUAACACAGGUGUAUUGAUGAACAAUGGAAUAUUUGAGAGUUUGUGAUAUAUAACGGAGUGAGUUAAUUGAAGCUAAGUUUGAUGUUGCUACAGCUAUAUAUAGUGGGAAGCCUUUAAACUUUACGUUUUAGUCCAGUUUAAGGAUAUUAACCUAUAUGUUGUAGACUUGUACGGCACGUUUGGUAGUUGUUAAUGAAUUGCGGUAAUGGGAAUGAAUUCUAAGUGUAAUUUUAUUAGGGAAGCACCCUUAAAAUCUCCAUGGAAAGACAUUUUUUCUCAAUGGACAAGCAAUCUCACUCCUAAACUUGUGUUUUUGUCUCCAAGUUGAAGCAAUUUUUAUUACCACUCAUUACCACCUACAAGGUGAUAUUGGAUGGAAUGAAAAUUCAAGAAGAAAAGUGGACACAUUAGGAUAAAUUAGCAUUAUCAUAGGAAUGGACAAUGAUAUUUUUCACAAAUUUACACACAAAUUCACUUACAUUACCACUAUUUAUGACCAACUACCAAACUCUCAAGUAUGUAUAAUGUAGCAUUGAGUUUUAUUCAACCUGGAUGAAGUUUUGGCUUCUUUGAAGAUAACUAGAUUUUACUAAUUAUAUUUCUUUUUUUAUUGAUUAAGGAAUCUGUAUGACUAUUAAUUAGGAAACUAUAUCCAAGAUUUUGAUCUUUUUUUUAUA